CGGGACACGUGGUAUCCUGUCUGAAUAUGGGGGGACCAUCCUCCAAGGCUAAAUACUCCUGACUGACCGAUAGUGAACCAGUACCGUGAGGGAAAGGCGAAAAGAACCCCGGCGAGGGGAGUGAAAAAGAACCUGAAACCGUGUACGUACAAGCAGUGGGAGCACGCUUAGGCGUGUGACUGCGUACCUUUUGUAUAAUGGGUCAGCGACUUAUAUUCUGUAGCAAGGUUAACCGAAUAGGGGAGCCGAAGGGAAACCGAGUCUUAACUGGGCGUUAAGUUGCAGGGUAUAGACCCGAAACCCGGUGAUCUAGCCAUGGGCAGGUUGAAGGUUGGGUAACACUAACUGGAGGACCGAACCGACUAAUGUUGAAAAAUUAGCGGAUGACUUGUGGCUGGGGGUGAAAGGCCAAUCAAACCGGGAGAUAGCUGGUUCUCCCCGAAAGCUAUUUAGGUAGCGCCUCGUGAAUUCAUCUCCGGGGGUAGAGCACUGUUUCGGCAAGGGGGUCAUCCCGACUUACCAACCCGAUGCAAACUGCGAAUACCGGAGAAUGUUAUCACGGGAGACACACGGCGGGUGCUAACGUCCGUCGUGAAGAGGGAAACAACCCAGACCGCCAGCUAAGGUCCCAAAGUCAUGGUUAAGUGGGAAACGAUGUGGGAAGGCCCAGACAGCCAGGAUGUUGGCUUAGAAGCAGCCAUCAUUUAAAGAAAGCGUAAUAGCUCACUGGUCGAGUCGGCCUGCGCGGAAGAUGUAACGGGGCUAAACCAUGCACCGAAGCUGCGGCAGCGACGCUGAUGCGUUGU
rnacentral:rRNA from 1 species